rnacentral:rRNA from 1 species
CCUACGGGAGGCAGCAGUGGGGAAUAUUGGGCAAUGGAGGCAACUCUGACCCAGCAACGCCGCGUGAAUGAUGAAGGUCUUCGGAUUGUAAAGUUCUUUUCUUCGGGAAGAAGAAAGUGACGGUUCCUUAGGAAUAGCCUCGGCUAACUACGUGCCAACAGCUGCGGUAAUACGGAGGAGGCAAGCGAUAUCCGGCAUGACUGGGCGUAAAGGGUGCGUAGGUGGUUUGGCAAGUUAGUAGCGCAACUCCGGGGCUCAACUCCGGACCGACUACUGAAACUGUUGGACUUGAGUGCAGGAGAGGCAAGCGGAAUUCCUAGUGUAGCGGUGGAAUGCGUAGAUAUUAGGAGGAACACCAGUGGCGAAGGCGGAUUGCUAGCCUGUAACUGACGCUGAGGCACGAAAGCGUGGGUAGCAAACAGGAUUAGAUACCCGUGUAGUC